rnacentral:rRNA from 1 species
AGAGUUUGAUCCUGGCUCAGAACGAACGCUGGCGGCAGGCUUAACACAUGCAAGUCGAACGCACCUUCGGGUGAGUGGCAGACGGGUGAGUAACGCGUGGGAACGUGCCCUUCAGUUCGGAAUAACCCAGGGAAACUUGGGCUAAUACCGGAUACGUGCGAGAGCGAAAGAUUUAUCGCUGAAGGAUCGGCCCGCGUCUGAUUAGCUAGUUGGUGGGGUAAUGGCCCACCAAGGCGACGAUCAGUAGCUGGUCUGAGAGGAUGAUCAGCCACAUUGGGACUGAGACACGGCCCAAACUCCUACGGGAGGCAGCAGUGGGGAAUAUUGGACAAUGGGCGCAAGCCUGAUCCAGCCAUGCCGCGUGAGUGAUGAAGGCCUUAGGGUUGUAAAGCUCUUUCGGCGGGGACGAUAAUGACGGUACCCGCAGAAGAAGCCCCGGCUACUUCGUGCCAGCAGCCGCGGUAAUACGAAGGGGGCUAGCGUUGUUCGGAAUCACUGGGCGUAAAGGGCGCGUAGGCGGCUUGAUAAGUCGGGGGUGAAAGCCUGUGGCUCAACCACAGAAUUGCCUUCGAUACUGUCGGGCUUGAGACCGGAAGAGGUCAGUGGAACUGCGAGUGUAGAGGUGAAAUUCGUAGAUAUUCGCAAGAACACCAGUGGCGAAGGCGGCUGACUGGUCCGGUUCUGNNGCUGAGGCGCGAAAGCGUGGGGAGCAAACAGGAUUAGAUACCCUAGUAGUCC